rnacentral:tRNA from 1 species
GGAGGGGUGUCCGAGCGGAUUAAGGAGCCGGUCUUGAAAACCGGUGACCCGAAAGGGCCGUGGGUUCGAAUCCCACCCCCUCCGCCA